rnacentral:rRNA from 1 species
AUUGAACGCUGGCGGCAUGCUUUACACAUGCAAGUCGAACGGUAACAGGUCUUCGGAUGCUGACGAGUGGCGAACGGGUGAGUAAUGCAUCGGAACGUGCCCAGUCGUGGGGGAUAACGCAGCGAAAGCUGUGCUAAUACCGCAUACGAUCUAUGGAUGAAAGCGGGGGACCGUAAGGCCUCGCGCGAUUGGAGCGGCCGAUGUCAGAUUAGGUAGUUGGUGGGGUAAAGGCCCACCAAGCCAACGAUCUGUAGCUGGUCUGAGAGGACGACCAGCCACACUGGGACUGAGACACGGCCCAGACUCCUACGGGAGGCAGCAGUGGGGAAUUUUGGACAAUGGGCGCAAGCCUGAUCCAGCAAUGCCGCGUGCAGGAAGAAGGCCUUCGGGUUGUAAACUGCUUUUGUACGGAACGAAACGGUCUGGGUUAAUACCUCGGGCUAAUGACGGUACCGUAAGAAUAAGCACCGGCUAACUACGUGCCAGCCGCCGCAGUAACAC